AUAAUUGCCUGGCAGGAAAGAUGCCGCCAUGAUCACGAAGGAGAUUUACCCAGGGUGAGGCUUUUCCAUUGCACUCCAGAUGUGCGGACCCCCGUGAUUUCCCCAAAUGUGGGAAACUCAACUGCAUAAUUUGUGGUAGGAGGGACCAUGUUCAAGCUCUCCCCUG
rnacentral:snRNA from 13 species